AUUGAACGCUGGCGGCGUGCUUAACACAUGCAAGUCGAACGAAGUGGCGAACGGGUGAGUAACGCGUAAUCAACCUGCUCUUCAGAGGGGGACAACAGUUGGAAACGACUGCUAAUACCGCAUACUGAAGGAGGGGAUUGCGUCUGAUUAGCUAGUUGGAGGGGUAACGGCCCACCAAGGCGAUGAUCAGUAGCCGGUCUGAGGGGAUGAACGGCCAAAUUGGGAAUGGGACACGGGCCAGACUCCUACGGGGGGGAGCAGUGGGGAAACUUUCGCAAUGGACGAAAAUCUGACGGAGCAAAGGCGCGUGAGUGAUGACGGGCUUCGGGUUGUAAAGAUCUGUUAAUCGGGACGCGGUACCGAAAUAGAAAGCCACGGCUAACUACGUGCCAGCAGCCGCGGUAAUUC
rnacentral:rRNA from 1 species